UUUUCUGGUUGAUCCCGCCGGACCUGACUGCUAUCGGAUUGAUACUAAGCCAUGCGAGUCGUUGUAGCAAUACAAGGCAUACGGCUCAGUAACGCGUAGUCAACCUAACCUAUGGACGGGAAUAACCUCGGGAAACUGAGAAUAAUGCCCGAUAGAACAUUAUGCCUGGAAUGGUUUAUGUUCCAAAUGAUUUAUCGCCAUAGGAUGGGACUGCGGCCUAUCAGUUUGUUGGUGAGGUAAUGGCCCACCAAGACUAUUACAGGUACGGGCUCUGAGAGGAGUAGCCCGGAGAUGGGUACUGAGACACGGACCCAGGCCCUAUGGGGCGCAGCAGGCGAGAAAACUUUGCAAUGUGCGAAAGCACGACAAGGUUAAUCCGAGUGAUUUCUGCUAAAGAGAUCUUUUGUUAGUCCUAGAAACACUAACGAAUAAGGGGUGGGCAAGUUCUGGUGUCAGCCGCCGCGGUAAAACCAGCACCUCAAGUGGUCAGGAUGAUUAUUGGGCCUAAAGCAUCCGUAGCCGGCUCUGUAAGUUUUCGGUUAAAUCUGUACGCUCAACGUACAGGCUGCCGGGAAUACUGCAGAACUAGGGAGUGGGAGAGGUAGACGGUACUCGGUAGGAAGUGGUAAAAUGCUUUGAUCUAUCGAUGACCACCUGUGGCGAAGGCGGUCUACCAGAACACGUCCGACGGUGAGGGAUGAAAGCUGGGGGAGCAAACCGGAUUAGAUACCCGGGUAGUCCCAGCUGUAAACUAUGCAAACUCAGUGAUGCAUUGGCUUGUGGCCAAUGCAGUGCUGCAGGGAAGCCGUUAAGUUUGCCGCCUGGGAAGUACGUACGCAAGUAUGAAACUUAAAGGAAUUGGCGGGGGAGCACCACAAGGGGUGAAGCCUGCGGUUCAAUUGGAUUCAACGCCGGA
rnacentral:rRNA from 1 species